GCACAUAGAGAGAGACAGAGACGGAAGCAGCCCGCGUCCGCUGGGUCACUCCCCAAAUGCCUGAAAUAGCUGGCGCUGAGCCAGGACAAAGCCAGCAGCAGGGAACCGAACCCGGGUCUCCCACGGGGGUGGCAGGGACCCCGGGCGCGCAGUCACAGGCAGCUGGAACCAGGAACAGAGCAGAGACUCAAACCCAGGCCCCUGCUACGAGGCGUGGGUGCUGCAACCAGCGGCUCAGCCACCAGAACAACCGCCAGCUCCCGUAAGAGCUGAAAGAAAUAAAGAAUCUCCAGUUUGGGCGGGAACUGCUGACACAACUUUGUCUUCACUUGGAGGGCCUGCUCCACCUACGGCCCCGUGCACGCCACAUGUGCUCCCAGCAUCCCUUGGACAAGGACGCUGUGGCUUGCAGAGUCGUUGUGUGCCCAAUGUCCUAUCACGUGCUCAGGAAAUGACGUGCCAGGAUCUGACCCCGGCGGGCACCUGCACAGCCCAAAGGCUGCGUCUCGAAGCAGCUCCUUCUCCCUGGAAGCCAGCGGGCCCCUGGUUCCUUGGCCUGCGCCACGGGGCAGAUGUGCAGGUAGGGUGGGAUUGCGCAGGGUCCCGGGACCCAGCUUCGGACAAGGAACUGCGCGCUGAGAAAGUCAUUCCCUUCUGAUCGCGCCCGUGCUGCGGGGGGAGUCCGCGUCCACACCUCCCCACGCCACGGAGCCCAGAGAGCAGGUGCCUAGCCCUCGACAUGCCUCCCCGCCCUCUGCGUUUCUCGUCCCGUCCGUUUCUGCAAAGUGGCCCAGAUCCUGCUUCGGAGACAGUGAUGCAGAGGGCACGGCUGGGGUCAUGCGGCUUCUCAGGUGGACGCCGGGGCCGGGUGCGGAGCUGUCUGUGGGUGAUGGACGCCCAGCUGGGAUGGGCUUGAGAAUCAGCUGGCGUGACCCGGAUGUGGAAGGAACAGGUCGCUGUGAGCUGGAACGUUUUGACGCUCAUGGGUAUUAUAAAUAAUUUAAAUAUAAGUCUUUGUAGAUAACUUCUUAUAUGAUAUCGCAAUAUACUUAAUAUCUUAUAUACUCUGGAUAAUACACACAUAUGCAUCACAUAUUUUGCAUAGCUUGUAUUAUAUUAUUCAGUACGCAUUUAAAACUUUCUGGGGGCCGGCGCUGUGGCUUAGAGGGUAAAGCCACCCCCUGCAGUGCCGGCAUCCCACAUGGGUGCCAGUGCUAGUUCCAGCUGCUCUACUUCCGUUCUCGCUCUCUGCUGUGGCCUGGGAAAGCAGCAGAAGAUGCCCAAGUCCUGGGCCCCUGCACCCACGUCGGGGGUAAGGAAGAAGCUCCUGGCUCCUGGCUUCAGAACUGCACAGCUCCGGUUAUUGUGGCCAACUGGGGAGUGAACCAGUGGAUGGACGACCUCUCUCUCUCUCUCUCUCUCUCUCUCUCUCUCUCUCUUUCUCUCCCCCCCCCCCGUAACUUUGCUUUUCAAAUAAAUAAAUCUUUUUCAAAAAAAUUUUUCUGAAA
rnacentral:lncRNA from 1 species